UAAUAUUGCAUAGCUCAUUUCUGCAUUAUAUGGAUGGGCUACACUAGAAAUUUAACAAGUUGUGUGUUAUUUUGUGUCUCACACAGUGGAUAGUAUUAAUAAAAACUAAUGAUUAAAAAUUGAUUCCCACAUUUCUUUGCAUAGUUAAUUCUUGCAUUGUGUGGACUCUGAAUGGGUUAAACUAAAGCUCAUAUAGAUGCCUGAUCAUACAGUUUAUUCCUAAAUUUCGGUCAAGGUUGGGUCACCAAAACGGCUGUCAUUUAGUUUUUGAUGACUGAAGAUUUAAAAACCAGUUCUUAUCACUCGCAUUUCUGUUGACUCUCAGCUGAAGGAGGAAGAGAAGGAGAUCCUGAUGAAGAACGGAGAGAUCCGAGUCCUGCGCGACUCCCUGAAACAGGCCAAUCAUUCAGAAGAAGGAGCAGCAGCGGCAGACCCAGCUGGUCCUGGAGAAGGAGAAAGCUCAUGCUGGGAGCGAACAUGAGGAGCUGCUGUCCAGGAAGUGUUCACUCUCCUGAGAGUCAAGCGUUCAUGACUAAAGGAAACUUCUCAGCCGAAUUCUCCAAGAAAACAUCUCCUGUCAAAAACGGCCAUUUAUCAGAGGACGGUAAACCAGCUCGGUCCAAACGUUCCCUCGCAUGAUUGGACUGAACCCUGGGCUCCGGUCACCAACAGGAAGGGAACCGCUGAUCAGAUGUCUUCUUGUUUCUGUUAUCUCAGUGUGUUGCAGUGAGGCUGUGUGUGUUACUGAAGCUGCUUCCGAGCGCUCUGGGUCUGUGUCUCCUGCUGUCCAUCAGUCCUGACACCUACGUCAGCCUGUAAACCACAGGAGCAUCCGAAUUAAACACAUCACGCCUCUGAGUGUCCAGAAAACACGAGAAACCCACUAUAAACAUCAGUUUCCAUUACAUACAGCUGUUUAUUUUGGGAAAUCGUCAGCCCACUUUUACAACAUUCAUCAUACAAUGCUGUAAGGACGGAAAUUUCCGUUGCAUCAUUUGUUUGGGGGGUAUUUUCCAGUGGAAGGUUUGAACUAUGUCAACUUCUUAAAUGCCGAUCAAAUAUACUUUUAAGUCACAUGAGCAGAGAUUGCUAUGGUUCAUUAACAAAGCCAUACAGAACACUUUGUUUUUUAUCAAAGAAUAUAUUUUUAAAGACUUUACAUCAUGACAUUUGCAGAUUUUUAUAUAACUAUUAACAUAUUAUUGUUAUUAACAUUAUUUUAUUAUUAAGGUUGUAUUUGAAGGAUGUACUAAUUAAAUUAAAUAGGACAGAAUACUGUACUGAUAACAAUAACUAGUAUUAUUAUUGCUAGUAGUAUUCAUAGCAGUCAUUUUUACAUAAUAUUUGCUUUAUGCAUUUUUAAACAUUAAAAUAUUAUUUGUUGUAUUUCAUUUAUUAUUAAACUAAAUAUAGAACAUUGUU
rnacentral:lncRNA from 1 species